rnacentral:lncRNA from 1 species
UUCGCGUCUGUCCCGCCCCCUGCGUGCGUCCUUUACGUAACCACGCCCCCGAAGCUCUCUGGCCCGCCUAGGCAAAACCACGAUGGGGUCAGCGCAGAGCCUCGCCCCGUUCCCGUAGUAACGGUCUCCGGAACGGAAAUGGCCACCUAGAGAUUUGUCGGACAGUGCCGGGUCUGGGCCGCUAGUUCCCAACUCAUAAGGCAUUGCAGCCCGAUAGACCCGAUGUUUCAUGGAACAAUCAUAGAAGAGCUAACCAAUCACAGAGAAUGGAGUCACUAUAAUGAAAAUAUAAUAGAAGAUCAAAAAGAUUUUGUUUUUGUGAAGUUCAGUGGCCUUCAUUUAAAAUCUAUGGAAAAUCUUCAAUCUUGUAUCUCUCUUAGAGUAUGCAUCUUCUCAAACAAUUUUAUUACAGAUAUUCGUCCACUUCAGAGUUGCAUGAAAUUAAUCAAACUUGAUCUCCAUGGAAAUCAGAUAAAGAGUCUACCAGGUACCAAAUUUUGGAGUGGAUUGAAGAAUCUAAAACUUCUCUAUCUACAUGACAAUGGGUUUGCAAAGUUAAAGAACGUAUGUAUGUUAUCUGCCUGUCCGAGCCUCAUUGCCCUCACUAUGUUUGAUUGUCCAGUAAGCCUUAAAAAAGGAUAUAGACAUGUUCUUGUCAACAGUAUAUGGACUCUCAAAGCAUUGGAUCAUCAUGUGAUUUCUGAUGAAGAAAUAAUUCAAAACUGGCAUCUUCCUGAAAGAUUCAAGACAUGUAACCACCGACUUCUCUUUAAUUUCUGCUCUGCUUUGAAAAAGGGAUCAACCUAUGAAGAUGAAAUUGAUAAUAUCAAACACAUUAUUUCAAAAGUUAAUGAAAUUCUGGCUCAUAACUCACCAGUUUUGAUUAUUCAAAGAUGGACACGUGGUUUCUUAGUUAGGAAAAAAGUGAGCCACUUGUUCUUGUAUAAAAAACGUGAAAAAUCUAUUAGUGAAUGUGAAAAAAGAUGGAUUUACAAGCACAAAGGAUUUGAUGAUAAACUCUUUAAGGAACUCUUUUUUCAGCCUGGAACUAAUAUAGCAGAAAAGUUUGCACGCUGGAAAUAUGGUAAAAAAAAAUUAUGGGUCAAUUUUCACUGA